rnacentral:rRNA from 1 species
ACGAACGCUGGCGGCGUGCUUAACACAUGCCAGUCGAACGGAAAGGCCCUGCUUUUGUGGGGUGCUCGAGUGGCGAACGGGUGAGUAACACGUGAGUAACCUGCCCUUGACUUUGGGAUAACUUCAUGAAACUGGGGCUAAUACCGGAUAGGAGCUCCUGCUGCAUGGUGGGGGUUGGAAAGUUUCGGCGGUUGGGGAUGGACUCGCGGCUUAUCAGCUUGUUGGUGGGGUAGUGGCUUACCAAGGCUUUGACGGGUAGCCGGCCUGAGAGGGUGACCGGCCACAUUGGGACUGAGAUACGGCCCAGACUCCUACGGGAGGCAGCAGUGGGGAAUAUUGCACAAUGGGCGGAAGCCUGAUGCAGCAACGCCGCGUGCGGGAUGACGGCCUUCGGGUUGUAAACCGCUUUCGCCUGUGACGAAGCGUGAGUGACGGUAAUGGGUAAAGAAGCACCGGCUAACUACGUG